rnacentral:rRNA from 1 species
UACGUAGGUGGCAAGCGUUGUCCGGAUUUACUGGGCGUAAAGAGCGCGCAGGCGGCUUGCCAAGUAGGGUGUGAAAGCCCCCGGCUUAACCGGGGAAUUGCGCCCUAAACUGGCGAGCUGGAGUGAGAUAGGGGUGUGUGGAACUUCCGGUGGAGCGGUGAAAUGUGUUGAUAUCGGAAGGAACGCCGGUGGCGAAAGCGACACACUGGGUCUCAACUGACGCUGAGGCACGAAAGCCAGGGGAGCGAACGGG